UGCUUAAUGAAAUUAUAUUAAGUAAAGUCUGCUCAAUGCGUAGUAAAUAGCCGCAGAAAAUAACUGUGCUAAGGUAGCAUAAUCAUUAGUCUCUUAAUUAGAGAAUAGAAUGAAUGACCAAACAAUUAAUUUCCUUUUUUAAAUAUACAAACAAAAUUUAUACUAAAUAUAAAAAUAUAUUUAUACCCAAGCAAGACGACAAGACCCUAUCGAACUUUACUUUAGUUUGGCUGGGGCAGCCUAUUAAUAAAUACUUUAAUUAAACUAAACUUUUUAAAGACCCAAUAAAAUUGAAUAAAUGAUCAAGUUACCGUAGGGAUAACAGCGUAAUAAAUUUCUAAAGCUCAUAUUAAAAAAUUAGAUUACGACCUCGAUGUUGAAUUAGUAAAACUUAAACACGCAAGAGUCUUAAAGCAGGUCUGUUCGACCUUUAAAUUACUACA
rnacentral:rRNA from 1 species